UACGUAGGGUCCGAGCGUUGUCCGGAAUUAUUGGGCGUAAAGGGCUCGUAGGCGGUUCGUCACGUCGGGAGUGAAAACUCGGGGCUUAACCCCGAGCCUGCAUCCGAUACGGGCAGACUAGAGGUAGGCAGGGGAGAGCGGAACUCCUGGUGUAGCGGUGGAAUGCGCAGAUAUCAGGAAGAACACCGGUGGCGAAGGCGGCUCUCUGGGACGGUACUGACGCUGAGACGCGAAAGCGUGGGGAGCGAACAGG
rnacentral:rRNA from 1 species